GCGGAGGAAAAGAAACCAACCGGGAUUGCCUUAGUAACGGCGAGUGAAGCGGCAAAAGCUCAAAUUUGAAAUCUAGUACCUUCGGUGCUCGAGUUGUAAUUUGUAGAGGGAUACUUUGGGGCCGUUCCUUGUCUAUGUUCCUUGGAACAGGACGUCAUAGAGGGUGAGAAUCCCGUGUGGCGAGGAGUGCGGUUCUAUGUAAAGUGCCUUCGAAGAGUCGAGUUGUUUGGGAAUGCAGCUCUAAGUGGGUGGUAAAUUCCAUUUAAAGCUAAAUAUUGGCGAGAGACCGAUAGCGAACAAGUACAGUGAUGGAAAGAUGAAAAGAACUUUGAAAAGAGAGUGAAAAAGUACGUGAAAUUGUUGAAAGGGAAGGGCAUUUGAUCAGACAUGGUGUUUUGCGCCCUCCGCUCCUUGUGGGUGGGGGACUCUCGCAGCUCACUGGGCCAACAUCAGUUUUGGUGGUCGGACAAAUCCGUAGGAAUGUAGCUUACCUCGGUAAGUGUUAUAGCCUGCGGGAAUACGGCCAGCCGGGACUGAGGACUGCGACUUUUGUCAAGGAUGUUGGCAUAAUGGUUAUAUGCCGCCCGUCUUG
rnacentral:rRNA from 1 species